UACGAAGGGGGCUAGCGUUGUUCGGAUUUACUGGGCGUAAAGCGCACGUAGGCGGAUCGUUAAGUCGGGGGUGAAAUCCUGGAGCUCAACUCCAGAACUGCCUUCGAUACUGGCGCUCUUGAGUCCGGAAGAGGUGAGUGGAACUCCUAGUGUAGAGGUGGAAUUCGUAGAUAUUCGCAAGAACACCAGUGGCGAAGGCGGCUCACUGGCCCGGAACUGACGCUGAGACGCGAAAGCGUGGGGAGCAAACAGG
rnacentral:rRNA from 1 species